rnacentral:rRNA from 1 species
CCCGCUCAGAAACUUAAAUAGAAUGACGGGGCCGCACAAGCGGAGGAGCAUGUGGUUUAAUUCGAUGAUACGCGAGGAACCUUACCUGGGCUCGAACGUAAGAUGACUGUAGGUGAAAGCUUACAUCUCUUCGGAGCAUUUUACGAGGUGCUGCAUGGUUGUCGUCAGCUCGUGCCGUGAGGUGUCGGGUUAAGUCCCAUAACGAGCGCAACCCUACCUUUAGUUGCCAUCAGGUAAUGCUGGGGACUCUAAAGGAACUGCCUACGCAAGUAGUGAGGAAGGCGGGGAUGACGUCAAAUCAGCACGGCCCUUACGUCCAGGGCUACACACGUGCUACAAUGGCCGAUACAGAGGGCAGCUACCUGGUGACAGGAUGCAAAUCUCCAAAGUCGGUCUCAGUUCGGAUCGGAGUCUGCAACCCGACUCCGUGAAGUUGGAUUCGCUAGUAAUCGCGCAUCAGCCAUGGCGCGGUGAAUACGUUCCCGGGCCUU